rnacentral:rRNA from 1 species
GACGAACGCUGGCGGCGUGCUUAACACAUGCAAGUCGAACGGUAAGGCCCUUUCGGGGGUACACGCGUGGGGAACGGGCGAGUAACACGCGAGUAACUUGCCUACACCUGUGGGAUAACGCUAGGAAACUGGUGCUAAUACAGGAUAUGUGCUCCUGCCGCAUGGUGGGGGUUGGAAAGCUCCGGGGGUUGUGGAUGGACUCGCGGCCUUUAAGCCUGCUGGUGGGGUAGGGGCCUACCAAGGCGGCGUUGGGUGGCCGGCCUGUGAGGGUGACCGGCCACAUUGGGACUGAGAUACGGCCCAGACACCUACGGGGGGGGGCAGUGGGGAAUAUUGCACAAUGGGCGCAAGACUGAUGCAGAGACGCCGCGUGCGGGAUGACAGCCUUCGGGUUGUAAACCGCGUUCAGCAGGGACGAGGCGUUUUGUGACGGUACCUGCAGAAGAAGCACCGGCUAACUUCGUG